rnacentral:rRNA from 1 species
UACGUAGGGGGCAAGCGUUGUCCGGAAUCAUUGGGCGUAAAGAGCGUGUAGGCGGCUCGAUAAGUCUGCUGUGAAAGUCCAGGGCUCAACCCUGGAAGGCCGGUGGAAACUGUCGGGCUAGAGUCCGGAAGAGGCGAGUGGAAUUCCCGGUGUAGCGGUGAAAUGCGCAAAUAUCGGGAGGAACACCAAUGGCGAAGGCAGCUCGCUGGGACGGUACUGACGCUGAGACGCGAAAGCGUGGGGAGCAAACAGG